CCCGCAGUCUUGCAUAAUAUGUUCUGGCACGAGUGUUAUAAAUGAAUAUUUUCUCUGCUCCGCUAUAUUAUUAUGCACUCGUCUGAUGCCGCCUACAUCAUUGCCUAUCUGUGUAAAUGCCCGGAUGGCUUCCAGGCGCGCGCACCGGGAUGGGCGUGUCCCCGGGUUGAGUUAUUCGACAGCCGGGGCGGCGGCCAUGAACGUCAGCGAGCCACGGCGACAAAAGGUUUUCGGAUUCCCCUCUGCCGCGUACGCAGACUAACUAGGAAUUUUGUGUAUAAAUACAUCGGCAACAUAUAUUACACAAGUUUGCGUUAAUAACAACAACAUGUCACAAAAUUGAAAAUAAGUACAAACAGAAACGUAUAUUAAGGAAAAUAUUCAAAAGAAAAGGUUUGUCAAUACAAACCGUUGAAAUUAAAAAAAUGUUUAUGUAGUUAUGUUUUUUACUUAA